UGGGCGCAAAGCCUGAUCCAGCCAUGCCGCGUGAGUGAUGAAGGCCUUCGGGUUGUAAAGCUCUUUUGGCCGGGAAGAAAACGCCGGGACGAGUACACGGGGGACGGGACGGUACCGUGACAGCAGGCGCCGGUUUACAACAUGCGCCCCGGCGCGGCAAUACA
rnacentral:rRNA from 1 species